GGUAGCCUAGUGGUUAGAGUGUAGGGGCGGCAGGUAGCCUAGUGGUUAGAGUGUAGGGGCGGCAGGUAGCCUAGUGGUUAGAGUGUAGGGACGGCAGGUAGCCUAGUGGUUAGAGUGUAGGGGCGGCAGGUAGCCUAGUGGUUAGAGUGUAGGGGCGGCAGGUAGCCUAGUGGUUAGAGUGUAGGGGCGGCAGGUAGCCUAGUGGUUAGAGUGUAGGGGCGGCAGGUAGCCUAGUGGUUAGAGUGUAGGGGCGGCAGGUAGCCUAGUGGUUAGAGUGUAGGGACGGCAGGUAGCCUAGUGGUUAGAGUGUAGGGGCGGCAGGGUAGCCUAGUGGUUAGAGUGUAGGGGCGGCAGGUAGCCUAGUGGUUAGAGUGUAGGGACGGCAGGUAGCCUAGUGGUUAGAGUGUAGGGGCGGCAGGUAGCCUAGUGGUUAGAGUGUAGGGGCGGCAGGGUAGCCUAGUGGUUAGAGUGUAGGGGCGGCAGGGUAGCCUAGUGGUUAGAGUGUAGAGGCGGCAGGUAGCCUAGUGGUUAGAGUGUAGAGGCGGCAGGUAGCCUAGUGGUUAGAGUGUAGGGACGGCAGGUAGCCUAGUGGUUAGAGUGUAGGGACGGCAGGUAGCCUAGUGGUUAGAGUGUAGGGACGGCAGGUAGCCUAGUGGUUAGAGUGUAGGGACGGCAGGUAGCCUAGUGGUUAGAGUGUAGGGACGGCAGGUAGCCUAGUGGUUAGAGUGUAGAGGUGGCAGGUAGCCUAGUGGUUAGAGUGUAGGGACGGCAGGUAGCCUAGUGGUUAGAGUGUAGGGACGGCAGGUAGCCUAGUGGUUAGAGUGUAGGGACGGCAGGUAGCCUAGUGGUUAGAGUGUAGGGACGGCAGGUAGCCUAGUGGUUAGAGUGUAGGGACGGCAGGUAGCCUAGUGGUUAGAGUGUAGGGACGGCAGGUAGCCUAGUGGUUAGAGUGUAGGGACGGCAGGUAGCCUAGUGGUUAGAGUGUAGGGACGGCAGGUAGCCUAGUGGUUAGAGUGUAGGGACGGCAGGUAGCCUAGUGGUUAGAGUGUAGGGACGGCAGGUAGCCUAGUGGUUAGAGUGUAGGGACGGCAGGUAGCCUAGUGGUUAGAGUGUAGGGACGGCAGGUAGCCUAGUGGUUAGAGUGUAGGGACGGCAGGUAGCCUAGUGGUUAGAGUGUAGGGACGGCAGGUAGCCUAGUGGUUAGAGUGUAGGGACGGCAGGUAGCCUAGUGGUUAGAGUGUAGGGACGGCAGGUAGCCUAGUGGUUAGAGUGUAGGGACGGCAGGUAGCCUAGUGGUUAGAGUGUAGGGACGGCAGGUAGCCUAGUGGUUAGAGUGUAGGGACGGCAGGUAGCCUAGUGGUUAGAGUGUAGGGACGGCAGGUAGCCUAGUGGUUAGAGUGUAGAGGCGGCAGGUAGCCUAGUGGUUAGAGUGUAGAGGCGGCAGGUAGCCUAGUGGUUAGAGUGUAGGGACGGCAGGUAGCCUAGUGGUUAGAGUGUAGAGGCGGCAGGUAGCCUAGUGGUUAGAGUGUAGAGGCGGCAGGUAGCCUAGUGGUUAGAGUGUAGGGGCGGCAGGUAGCCUAGUGGUUAGAGUGUAGAGGUGGCAGGGUAGCCUAGUGGUUAGAGUGUAGGGGCGGCAGGGUAGCCUAGUGGUUAGAGUGUAGGGGCGGCAGGUAGCCUAGUGGUUAGAGUGUAGGGGCGGCAGGUAGCCUAGUGGUUAGAGUGUAGAGGCGGCAGGUAGCCUAGUGGUUAGAGUGUAGGGCGGCAGGUAGCCUAGUGGUUAGAGUGUAGAGGCGGCAGGUAGCCUAGUGGUUAGAGUGUAGAGGUGGCAGGGUAGCCUAGUGGUUAGAGUGUAGGGGCGGCAGGUAGCCUAGUGGUUAGAGUGUAGGGGCGGCAGGUAGCCUAGUGGUUAGAGUGUAGAGGCGGCAGGUAGCCUAGUGGUUAGAGUGUAGAGGCGGCAGGGUAGCCUAGUGGUUAGAGUGUAGGGGCGGCAGGUAGCCUAGUGGUUAGAGUGUAGGGCGGCAGGUAGCCUAGUGGUUAGAGUGUAGGGGCGGCAGGUAGCCUAGUGGUUAGAGUGUAGGGGCGGCAGGUAGCCUAGUGGUUAGAGUGUAGGGGCGGCAGGUAGCCUAGUGGUUAGAGUGUAGAGGUGGCAGGUAGCCUAGUGGUUAGAGUGUAGGGGCGGCAGGUAGCCUAGUGGUUAGAGUGUAGGGGCGGCAGGUAGCCUAGUGGUUAGAGUGUAGGGGCGGCAGGUAGCCUAGUGGUUAGAGUGUAGGGGCGGCAGGUAGCCUAGUGGUUAGAGUGUAGGGGCGGCAGGUAGCCUAGUGGUUAGAGUGUAGGGGCGGCAGGUAGCCUAGUGGUUAGAGUGUAGGGGUGGCAGGUAGCCUAGUGGUUAGAGUGUAGGGGCGGCAGGUAGCCUAGUGGUUAGAGUGUAGGGGCGGCAGGUAGCCUAGUGGUUAGAGUGUAGGGGCGGCAGGUAGCCUAGUGGUUAGAGUGUAGGGGCGGCAGGUAGCCUAGUGGUUAGAGUGUAGGGGCGGCAGGUAGCCUAGUGGUUAGAGUGUAGAGGUGGCAGGUAGCCUAGUGGUUAGAGUGUAGAGGUGGCAGGUAGCCUAGUGGUUAGAGUGUAGGGGCGGCAGGUAGCCUAGUGGUUAGAGUGUAGGGGCGGCAGGUAGCCUAGUGGUUAGAGUGUAGGGACGGCAGGGUAGCCUAGUGGUUAGAGUGUAGGGACGGCAGGGUAGCCUAGUGGUUAGAGUGUAGGGACGGCAGGGUAGCCUAGUGGUUAGAGUGUAGAGGAGGUAGGUAGCCUAGUGGUUAGAGUGUAGAGGAGGUAGGUAGCCUAGUGGUUAGAGUGUAGAGGAGGUAGGUAGCCUAGUGGUUAGAGUGUAGGGA